GAAAGUCUACCACAGACACAGAUCAGUGGAUUUGAUGCUUUGAGUGUACAGAUGUUUUUUCAACUGUCCCUAAUUCAAAGACAUUGUCAGACCUCUUCUUAUGUGAAGGGCUAAUGAAAAUGAAGCAAAAGCUACAAAUCUAUGUUUACCAUAGGGGUCAUGGCACACAUGAAAACUCCGCAGCUGUCUUCAGUGCUGAACAUUCUGUCAUAGAUUGCUGCUGUAUUUAAAGAAGGAGGUAGCUGAAAGGAAGCAGGCUCACUGUAUUAUCAUCCCGAUGUAGGGAAUUCCAGAAGUACAGUUUCAGGAUUGUUACCAUUACAAAACCAAGUUGAAAGAAACCUGAAAUAUCUUCCAGGGAACAGAAUUU